UACAGAGGAGCCAAGCGUUGUCCGGAUUGACUGGGCGUAAAGCGCACGCAGGUGGUCGUGCAAGUGUCGUGUGAAAGCAGCUCGCUUAACGAGCUGAGGCCAUGGCGGACUGCACAACUCGAGCCCGUGAGAGGUCCGUGGAAUUGCAGGUGUAGUAGUGAAAUACGUAGAGAUCGGCAGGAACACCCAAGGGGAAGCCAGCGGACUGGCACGGCGCUGACACUGAGGUGCGACAGCGUGGGGAGCAAACGGG
rnacentral:rRNA from 1 species